CCUACGGGGGGCUGCAGUGAGGAAUAUUGGACAAUGGAUGGAAAUCUGAUCCAGCCAUGCCGCGUGCAGGAAGACGGCCCUAUGGGUUGUAAACUGCUUUUAUACGGGAGCAAUAAGGUCUAUGCAUAGAUUGAUGAGAGUACCGUAUGAAUAAGCAUCGGCUAACUCCGUGCCAGCAGCCGCGGUAAUACGGAGGAUGCGAGCGUUAUCCGGAUUUAUUGGGUUUAAAGGGUGCGUAGGCGGCUUUGUAAGUCAGCGGUGAAAUUUUGCAGCUUAACUGUAAAAGCGCCGUUGAUACUGUGAAGCUAGGAUUUGGUUGCUGUGGGCGGAAUGUGUGGUGUAGCGGUGAAAUGCAUAGAGAUCACACAGAAUAUCGAUUGCGAAGGCAGCUCACAAAGCCAAUAUUGACGCUGAGGCACGAAAGUGUGGGGAUCAAACAGGAUUAGAUACCCCAGUAGUC
rnacentral:rRNA from 1 species